UUAACAGGAUUAGAUACCCUGGUAGUCCACGCCCUAAACGAUGUCUACUAGUUGUCGGGUCUUAAUUGACUUGGUAACGCAGCUAACGCGUGAAGUAGACCGCCUGGGGAGUACGGUCGCAAGAUUAAAACUCAAAGGAAUUGACGGGGACCCGCACAAGCGGUGGAUGAUGUGGAUUAAUUCGAUGCAACGCGAAAAACCUUACCUACCCUUGACAUGGAUGGAAUCCCGAAGAGAUUUGGGAGUGCUCGAAAGAGAACCAUCACACAGGUGCUGCAUGGCUGUCGUCAGCUCGUGUCGUGAGAUGUUGGGUUAAGUCCCGCAACGAGCGCAACCCUUGUCAUUAGUUGCUACGAAAGGGCACUCUAAUGAGACUGCCGGUGACAAACCGGAGGAAGGUGGGGAUGACGUA
rnacentral:rRNA from 1 species